AAAGGCUCACCUAGGCGACGAUCCGUAGCGGGUCUGAGAGGAUGAUCCGCCACACUGGGACUGAGACACGGCCCAGACUCCUACGGGAGGCAGCAGUGGGGAAUUUUGGACAAUGGGCGCAAGCCUGAUCCAGCCAUGCCGCGUGAGUGAAGAAGGCCUUCGGGUUGUAAAGCUCUUUCGGCCGGGAAGAAAUCGUGGUCUCUAACAUAGGCCAUGGAUGACGGUACCGGACUAAGAAGCACCGGCUAACUACGUGCCAGCAGCCGCGGUAAUACGUAGGGUGCGAGCGUUAAUCGGAAUUACUGGGCGUAAAGCGUGCGCAGGCGGUUUUGUAAGACAGAUGUGAAAUCCCCGGGGCUUAACCUGGGGAACUGCGUUUGUGACUGCAAGGCUAGAGUACGGCAGAGGGGGGUGGAAUUCCUGGUGUAGCAGUGAAAUGCGUAGAGAUCAGGAGGAACACCGAUGGCGAAGGCAGCCCCCUGGGGCCUGUACUGACGCUCAUGCACGAAAGCGUGGGGGAGC
rnacentral:rRNA from 1 species